rnacentral:rRNA from 1 species
ACGGGUGAGUAAUGCGUCGGAACGUGUCCAUGUCGUGGGGGAUAGCCCGGCGAAAGCCGGAUUAAUACCGCAUACGCCCGAGAGGGGAAAGUGGGGGACCGCAAGGCCUCACGCGAUUGGGUCGGCCGAUGUCCGAUUAGCUAGUUGGCGGGGUAAAGGCCCACCAAGGCGAUGAUCGGUAGCUGGUCUGAGAGGAUGAUCAGCCACACUGGGACUGAGACACGGCCCAGACUCCUACGGGAGGCAGCAGUGGGGAAUUUUGGACAAUGGGGGCAACCCUGAUCCAGCCAUUCCGCGUGAGUGAAGAAGGCCUUCGGGUUGUAAAGCUCUUUUGUCCGGAACGAAACGGGUUGCGUGAAUAGCGCCGCCUACUGACGGUACCGGAAGAAUAAGCACCGGCUAACUACGUGCCAGCAGCCGCGGUAAUACGUAGGGUGCGAGCGUUAAUCGGAAUUACUGGGCGUAAAGCGUGCGCAGGCGGUUUUGUAAGCCAGAUGUGAAAUCCCCGGGCUUAACCUGGGAAUGGCAUUUGGGACUGCAAGGCUCGAGUGCGGCAGAGGAGACUGGAAUUCCUGGUGUAGCAGUGA